AUGUGCAUACCAAACAAGCUCGGAGGCAUGGGGUUUCAUGAUUUGCACUCUUUUAAUGUUGUUGUGCUAUCCAAACAGUCUUGGAGACUCCUCAAUAACCAGGACUCAUUAUGCGCUCAGGUGUUGAGGGCUAAAUACUAUUCUAAUGGAAACCUUCCGAGCGCUAGAUCCAAAAUGGGCUCUUCUUUCACACGGCAGAGCAUUUUCGCGGGUGUGCAAUCUUUCAGACAUGGACACAUAUGGAGAGUUGGAAACAGAGCAAAAAACUAUAUUUGGGAGGACCACUGGGUCCCAAAUUGCUCUUCUAGAAAGAUCAUUACCAGAAGAGGGAAUUGCAUUCUUCGAAUAGUUGAUGUGUUAAGUGAUCAUGACUCCUGCAGGUGGGAUGAAUAUCUCUUUUGCCCAUUGAUGCACAAUAUUCUUAUGAUCCCAUUGAGUGAGCACAAGCAGGAUGAUCUUGUUGCUUGGCACAACACAUAA
rnacentral:rRNA from 1 species